rnacentral:rRNA from 1 species
GGCUCCUUGCUAAAUAUGUAUAAGGAGUCAGACCUGCCCAGUGAAUUAUUUUUAACGGCCGCGGUACUCUGACCGUGCAAAGGUAGCAUAAUAAUUUGCCUUAUAAUUGAAGGCUUGUAUGAAUGGUUUGACAAGAAUGAAGCUGUCUCUUUAUAAUUGAAUAGAAUUUUAUUUUUAGGUGAAGAAGCCUAAAUAUUAUUGAAAGACAAGAAGACCCUAUCGAGCUUAAAAUAAAUAAAUGAAUUGAAACUUCAUUUGUAAAUGAAAGUUAAUCAAUAAUAAUUUUGGUUGGGGCGACUUAGGAACAAACAAAGCUUCCUAUAUUUUGAUAUAUACAUAACAAGUAGUGAUCCAAUACAUUUGAUUAAAGAAAUUAGUUACCGUAGGGAUAACAGCAUUAUCUUUUUUGAGAGUUCUUAUCGAAAAAAAGGUUUGUGACCUCGAUGUUGGACCAGAAUAUCCUAAAGAUGCAGCCGUCUUUAAGGGUUGGUCUGUUCGACCAUUAAAAUUCUACGUGAUCUGAGUUCAGACCGGCGUGAGCCAGGUCAGUUUCUAUCUUCAAUUAAUAUAAACAAGCUUAGUACGAAAGGACCAGAUUGUUGUAACGAUAGUUUGCUUUUAAGUGAAUUAAUAUAAAAUAAUAUUAAAUAAAUCAAUUUUAAUUAAAUCAAAUUAGCAAAAUUAAUGCAAUUGACUUAGGAUCAAUAGAUAUAGGUGAAAGUCCUUUAUUUGAUAAAAUUAAUAUAAUUGAUAAAGGUGGCAGAUAAA